rnacentral:rRNA from 1 species
UACGGGGGGGGCAAGCGUUGUUCGGAAUUACUGGGCGUAAAGCGCACGUAGGCGGACCAGCAAGUUGGGGGUGAAAUCCCGGGGCUCAACCCCGGAACUGCCUUCAAAACUGCGGGUCUGGAGGUCGAGAGAGGUGAGUGGAAUUCCGAGUGUAGAGGUGAAAUUCGUAGAUAUUCGGAGGAACACCAGUGGCGAAGGCGGCUCACUGGCUCGAACCUGACGCUGAGGUGCGAAAGCGUGGGGAGCAAACAGG